UUAUGGCCAUAUCACGUUGAAACACCGGUUCUCGUAUGAUCACCGAAGUUAAGCGACGUCAAACUUUGUCAGUACCUAGAUGGGUACCCGCUUGAGAAUACCAGGUGCU